UAGGGAAUCUUGCGCAAUGGGCGAAAGCCUGACGCAGCGACGCCGCGUGCGGGAUGACGGCCUUCGGGUUGUAAACCGCUUUCAGCAGGGACGAUGAUGACGGUACCUGCAGAAGAAGCCCCGGCCAACUACGUGCCAGCAGCCGCGGUAAUACGUAGGGGGCGAGCGUUGUCCGGAAUUAUUGGGCGUAAAGAGCUCGUAGGUGGUUUGGUUAGUCGGGUGUGAAAUCUCCACGCUCAACGUGGAGGGGCCACCCGAUACUGCCAUGACUAGAGUCCGGUAGAGGAGUGUGGAAUUCCCGGUGUAGCGGUGAAAUGCGCAGAGAUCGGGAGGAACACCAGUAGCGAAGGCGGCACUCUGGGCCGGUACUGACACUGAGGAGCGAAAGCGUGGGGAGCGAACAGGAUUAGAUACCCCCGUAGUCC
rnacentral:rRNA from 1 species